CCUACGGGAUGCAGCAGUGGGGAAUAUUGCACAAUGGUGGAAACCCUGAUGCAGCGACGCCGCGUGAGUGAAGAAGUAUUUCGGUAUGUAAAGCUCUAUCAGCAGGGAAGAAAAUGACGGUACCUGAUUAAGAAGCCCCGGCUAACUACGUUCCAGCAGCCGCGGUAAUACGUAGGGGGCAAGCGUUAUCCGGAUUUACUGGGUGUAAAGGGAGCGUAGACGGCAGCACAAGUCUGGAGUGAAAUGCCGGGGCUGAACCCCGGAACUGCUUUGGAAACUGUGCAGCUAGAGUGCAGGAGAGGUAAGUGGAAUUCUUGGUGUAGCGGUGAAAUGCGUAGAUAGUAGGAGGAAGACCAGGGGCGAAGGCGGCUUAGUGGACUGGAACUGACGUUGAGGCUCGAAAGCGUGGGUAGCAAACAGGAUUAGAUACCCGGGUAGUC
rnacentral:rRNA from 1 species